rnacentral:rRNA from 1 species
CAACGUUAUCCGGAAUUAUUGGGCGUAAAGAGUCCGUAGGUAGUCAUGCAAGUCUGCUGUCAAAGCCCACAGCUCAACUGUGGAUCGGCGGUGGAAACUGCAUGACUUGAGUGCGGUAGGGGUAGAGGGAAUUCCCAGUGUAGCGGUGAAAUGCGUAGAUAUUGGGAAGAACACCGGUGGCGAAAGCGCUCUACUGGACCGUAACUGACACUGAGGGACGAAAGCCAAGGUAGCGAAAGGGAUUAGAUACCCCUGUAGUCUUGGCCGUAAACGAUGGAUACUAGGCGUUGUCUGUAUCGACCCGGACAGUGCCGAAGCUAACGCGUUAAGUAUCCCGCCUGGGGAGUACGCACGCAAGUGUGAAACUCAAAGGAAUUGACGGGGGCCCGCACAAGCGGUGGAGUAUGUGGUUUAAUUCGAUGCAACGCGAAGAACCUUACCAAGAUUUGACAUCCCGUGAACUUUCCAGAGAUGGAUUGGUGCCUUCGGGAACACGGAGACAGGUGGUGCAUGGCUGUCGUCAGCUCGUGUCGUGAGAUGUUGGGUUAAGUCCCGCAACGAGCGCAACCCUCGUCUUUAGUUGCCAUCAUUAAGUUGGGCACUCUAGGGAGACUGCCGGGGACAACUCGGAGGAAGGUGGGGAUGACGUCAAGUCAUCAUGCCCCUUAUAUUUUGGGCUACACACGUACUACAAUGGUCGGGACAAAGGGCAGCAACCCCGCGAGGGCAAGCGAAUCUCA